UACGUAGGGUGCGAGCGUUAAUCGGAAUUACUGGGCGUAAAGCGUGCGUAGACGGUUGCGUAAGUCAGAUGUGAAAGCCCCGGGCUCAACCUGGGAAUUGCAUUUGAGACUGCGUAGCUAGGGUGCGGAAGAGGGAAGCGGAAUUUCCGGUGUAGCGGUGAAAUGCGUAGAUAUCGGAAGGAACACCAGUGGCGAAAGCGGCUUCCUGGUCCAGCACCGACGUCAGGCACGAAAGCGUGGGGAGCAAACAGGG
rnacentral:rRNA from 1 species